AGAGUUUGAUUAUGGCUCAGGAUGAAACGCUAGCGAUAGGCCUAACACAUGCAAGUCGAGGGGCAGCACAUGAAGUAGCAAUACGGAUGGUGGCGACCGGCGCACGGGUGAGUAACGCGUAUGCAACCUGCCUACAACAGGGGAAUAACCCGUUGAAAGACGGACUAAUACCCCAUAACACAGGGAUCCCGCAUGGGAAUAUUUGUUAAAGAUUUAUCGGUUGUAGAUGGGCAUGCGUUCCAUUAGCUUGUUGGUGAGGUAACGGCUCACCAAGGCAACGAUGGAUAGGGGAACUGAGAGGUUUAUCCCCCACACUGGUACUGAGACACGGACCAGACUCCUACGGGAGGCAGCAGUGAGGAAUAUUGGUCAAUGGACGCAAGUCUGAACCAGCCACGUCGCGUGAAGGAAGACGGCCCUACGGGUUGUAAACUUCUUUUGUAAGGGAAUAAAGUGUAGUACGUGUACUAUUUUGCAUGUACCUUACGAAUAAGGAUCGGCUAACUCCGUGCCAGCAGCCGCGGUAAUACGGAGGAUCCGAGCGUUAUCCGGAUUUAUUGGGUUUAAAGGGUGCGCAGGCGGGAGAUUAAGUCGGCGGUGAAAUUUUGCAGCUCAACUGUAAAAGUGCCUUCGAAACUGGUUUCCUUGAGUGUGGAUGAAGUAGGCGGAAUUUGUGGUGUAGCGGUGAAAUGCAUAGAUAUCACGAGGAACUCCGAUUGCGCAGGCAGCUUACUAAACCAUAACUGACGCUCAGGCACGAAGGCGUGGGGAUCAAACAGGAUUAGAUACCCUGGUAGUC
rnacentral:rRNA from 1 species